UAAAGCGUGCGCAGGCGGUUUUGUAAGUCUGUCGUGAAAUCCCCGGGCUCAACCUGGGAAUGGCGAUGGAGACUGCAAGGCUAGAGUUUGGCAGAGGGGGGUAGAAUUCCACGUGUAGCAGUGAAAUGCGUAGAUAUGUGGAGGAACACCGAUGGCGAAGGCAGCCCCCUGGGUCAAGACUGACGCUCAUGCACGAAAGCGUGGGGAGCAAACAGGAUUAGAUACCCAGU
rnacentral:rRNA from 1 species